CAAUAGCGUAUAUUAAAGUUGUUGCAGUUAAAAAGCUCGUAGUUGAAUUUUUGCUUGCUGCCGAUGUCGGAACUUCCGUACGUUCGGCGGCGUGCAUCCUUGGGUGGAACCUGUGUGGCAUUAGGUUGUCGUGCAGGGGAUGCUCAUCGUUUACUGUGAAAAAAUUAGAGUGUUCAAAGCAGGCUUACGCCGUUGAAUAUAUUAGCAUGGAAUAAUAAGAUAGGACCUUGGUACUAUUUUGUUGGUUUGCGCACCGAGGUAAUGAUUAACAGGGACAGUUGGGGGUAUUCGUAUUCCAUUGUCAGAGGUGAAAUUCUUGGAUUUCUGGAAGACGAACUACUGCGAAAGCAUUUACCAAGGAUGUUUUCAUUAA
rnacentral:rRNA from 1 species